rnacentral:ncRNA from 1 species
ACAAAGUUAAAAACACAGUUUCGGUUGGUAGUCCGAACGUAAUAAUUUUAUUAUCAGUAACCUUCCUCCUAGGUCGUCCAUACUUUGUUUAUAUU